ACCAAGGCACCCCAAUAAAUAAAUCUUUAUAACAAAAUAAAAUAAUUUGGUUUGGGUGCCCAAGGGAGAUCAUCAUGAUCGCAGCUAAGUUUUAAGUGCUUACUGUAUGCCAGGCCCUAUUUAAAAUAUUUAACUUUUAUUAAUUAAGGUACCUGUCUUAAGAAGUAGGUAUUGUUACUAUCUCUUUGUAUAGAUGAGGAAACUGAGGCACAGAGAAGUUAGUAAUUGGUCUAACACCACCCAGUAGUUAAGUGGUAGAGCUGGGAUUCGAGCUGGGAUCCUGGCUGCAGAGUGCUUGUUCCUAAUGCCUGUACAACAGCCUAGGUAUGGAGAACAUCACAAGCGGAGCUGCCUGAAACUCAUGAUGUCCUGGUUUUCCAGGAGCUCCUUGGAAGUCUGUGCGCUUCUGGCUAUGACAGGCAGAAGUGCGGAAGAGCCGCAAGGGGCCUGAUGCAGCUGGCGGGAGCCCUCAGUUCCACAGCAGCUGAACACACACUGUCUUUGCCCCGCCUUGUAACCUCCUCAUGCCACCUGACCUAUCCCGAAGGGCUGCUGGUGCGGUUCAGGAAGAACACGCGUGAAAUGCACGUCUAAGGUGGGUGGGAUUCAUGGGAACAGUUUUCUCAGCUCUUUGCUACCCUUUUCUUUCACUUGCUAAUUCUGCUGGCUCAGGUCUAAAUUUCUAACAUUUCCCAAAAUACUCCUUCCAAAUUCAAUAUCCUAAGGACAAAAUCUUAAGGACAAAGUCAGGAAUACAAUCUAAAAGGUGCUGUGACUCGACAAUGAUGACAGCUACCUUGGCAAACAUGUACUGUGUGACGAACACUAUGCUUUUGGUUCACUCUUAUUUUACUCCAUUUUAAGGCCUUUUGGGGGUUAAAUUUCUAAUCUGAAUCUCCCACCUGGCUGCUCUCUCUCAGCCUCCUUCAGGAACUGCAUCAGUUACAAGAAUCUCACCCCCCGUGCUGGCUCCUGGCCCCCUUAGUCUGCAACCCCUAAGCCAACACUCACAAUCAGCCUGUGCGCUGAGCCCUGUGUCUCUACAGUAACGUUUCCUCCUCGGACUCAGUGUCUGCUGGGAUGGCAGGACCCUGGCUCCCCUCCUCUCCCAGAGGCAGACUUUUGAAGUGGGGGAGAGUUGGCCCUUCAUUUUCUAAUACUUAGCAAAAUAAUUGUCUUGUGCUAUUAUUAGUUAUUAACUGUUAGUACAGUUAUUAACUACCCCGGCAUGCCUCUCACAAACCAGGUAUUUUAUAUUAUAUUCAAUUUUUGUAACUGUGAGGCAGAUAUCAUUCUCCCUAUUUAUAGAUGAGGACACUGAGGCUUGGGGAGGUUAGAGAACCCGCCUCAUGACACACAGCUGGUCAAGGGUCAAACAGAGCUAUGAAACCCAGGGGGAUUUGACUUCCAAACCCAAGCAAUUUACACCACACUGUGCAGCCUUCCUU